rnacentral:rRNA from 1 species
UACGUAGGGGGCAAGCGUUGUCCGGAUUUAUUGGGCGUAAAGAGCGUGUGGGCGGCUCGAUAAGUCCGCUCUGAAAGCCCGGGGCUCAACCCCGGGAGGCGGGCGGAUACUGUCGAGCUAGAGUCCGGAAGAGGCGAGUGGAAUUCCUGGUGUAGCGGUGAAAUGCGCAGAUAUCAGGAGGAACACCAGAGGCGAAGGCGGCUAGCUGGACAGUAACUGACACUCAACUACGAAAGCGUGGGGAGCAAACAGG